UCAAGCUACAAAGGGCGCAUGGUGAAUGCCUUGGCAUCAGGAGCCGAUGAAGGACGUGAUAAGCUGCGAUAAGCUUCGGGUAGGCGCACAUAGCCUGAGAUCCGAAGAUCUCCGAAUGAGGAAACUCACAUGGGAAACCCCAUGUAUCAUUAAGUGAAUACAUAGCUUAAUGAAGGUAACCCAGGGAACUGAAACAUCUAAGUACCUGGAGGAAGAGAAAGAAAAAUCGAUUUUCUUAGUAGCGGCGAGCGAAAGGGAAAGAGCCCAAACCGGAAACUUGUUUCCGGGGUUGUGGACAUAGCAUAAAAGUGGAGGCUAUUGUAACUGAAGAGAACUGGAAAGUUCCACCGUAGAAGGUAAUAGUCCUGUAAGUGAAACGAGAAGACCACGAGUUAUGAUCCAGAGUACCACGAGACACGUGAAACCUUGUGGGAAGCAGGGAGGACCACCUCCCAAGGCUAAAUACUACCUGAUGACCGAUAGUGAAGCAGUACCGUGAGGGAAAGGUGAAAAGAACCCCGGGAGGGGAGUGAAAUAGAACCUGAAACCGUGUGCCUACAACCGCUCAGAGCCCCUUAUGAGGGUGAUGAGGUGCUUUUUGUAGAACGAGCCAACGAGUUACGGUAUGUAGCAAGGUUAAGUACUUAAGGUACGGAGCCGAAGGGAAACCGAGUCUGAAUAGGGCGACUAGUUGCAUGCCGUAGACCCGAAACCGGGUGACCUAUCCAUGGCCAGGUUGAAGCGAGGGUAAAACCUCGUGGAGGACCGAACCACGUUGCUGUUGAAAAAGCAUGGGAUGAGCUGUGGAUAGCGGAGAAAUUCCAAUCGAACCCGGAGAUAGCUGGUUCUCUCCGAAAUAGCUUUAGGGCUAGCGUCGAGUAUGAGUAGUGGAGGUAGAGCACUGAAUGGGCUAGGGGGCAUAGCGCUUACCGAACCUUAUCAAACUCCGAAUGCCACAUACUUUGAGCUCGGCAGUCAGACUACGAAUGAUAAGAUCCGUGGUCAAAAGGGAAACAGCCCAGAUCGUCAGCUAAGGUCCCAAAGUGUAAGUUAAGUGGGAAAGGAUGUGAGAUUUCUAAGACAACUAGGAUGUUGGCUUAGAAGCAGCCAUUCAUUAAAAGAGUGCGUAAUAGCUCACUAGUCGAGAGAUCUUGCGCCGAAAAUGUAACGGGGCUAAACUUACCACCGAAGCUACGGGCUUGAACUUAGUUCAAGCGGUAGGAGAGCGUCGUAACCGGGCUGAAGUCGUACCGUAAGGAGCGGUGGACUGGUUACGAGUGAGAAUGUUGGCAUCAGUAGCGAGAUGUGGGUGAGAAUCCCACAGGCCGAAAACCUAAGGUUUCCUCAGGAAGGUUCGUCCGCUGAGGGUUAGUCGGGACCUAAGCCGAGGCCGAAAGGCGUAGGUGAUGGACAACUGGUUGAUAUUCCAGUACCACUACCAUCGUUAUUAUCGAUGGCGUGACGCAGGAGGAUAGUGUGUGCUAGCUAUUGGAUGCUAGUCUAAGCGUUUAGGCAGUGAGAGUAGGCAAAUCCGCUCUCAUAAUGCUGAGGCGUGAUGGGGAAGGUUCUACGGAACCGAAGUACAUGAUUCCACGCUGCCAAGAAAAGCGUCUAGAGAGAGAAGUAGUGCCCGUACCGCAAACCGACACAGGUAGGUGAGGAGAGAAUCCUAAGGCCGGCGGAAGAAUUACAGUUAAGGAACUCGGCAAAUUGACCCCGUAAGUUCGCGAGAAGGGGUGCCUACGAGAGUAGGCCGCAGAGAAUAGGCCCAAGCAACUGUUUAGCAAAAACACAGGUCUCUGCUAAAGCGUAAGCUGAUGUAUAGGGGCUGACGCCUGCCCGGUGCUGGAAGGUUAAGGGGAACACUUAGCGCAAGCGAAGGUGUGAACUUAAGCCCCAGUAAACGGCGGCCGUAACUAUAACGGUCCUAAGGUAGCGAAAUUCCUUGUCAGGUAAGUUCUGACCCGCACGAAUGGCGUAAUGACUUGGGCACUGUCUCAACUGUAAAUCCGGCGAAGUUGUAGUGCGAGUGAAGAUGCUCGCUACCCGCGAUUGGACGGAAAGACCCCGUAGAGCUUUACUGUAGCUUAGCAUUGAGUUUUGGUAUUGUCUGUACAGGAUAGGUGGGAGACUAGGAAACCAGGGCGUCAGCCUUGGUGGAGUCAACCUUGGGAUACCACCCUGACAGUACUGAAAUUCUAACUGGCGGCCAUGAAUCUGGUCACAGGACAUUGUUAGGUGGGCAGUUUGACUGGGGCGGUCGCCUCCUAAAAAGUAACGGAGGCGCCCAAAGGUUCCCUCAGAACGGUCGGAAAUCGUUCGAAGAGUGCAAAGGCAGAAGGGAGCCUGACUGCGACACCCACAAGUGGAGCAGGGACGAAAGUCGGGCUUAGUGAUCCGGUGGUACCUCGUGGGAGGGCCAUCGCUCAACGGAUAAAAGCUACCUCGGGGAUAACAGGCUGAUCUCCCCCAAGAGUCCACAUCGACGGGGAGGUUUGGCACCUCGAUGUCGGCUCGUCGCAUCCUGGGGCUGUAGUCGGUCCCAAGGGUUGGGCUGUUCGCCCAUUAAAGCGGCACGCGAGCUGGGUU
rnacentral:rRNA from 1 species